GGCCCCCUACCAGUGGUAACCUGUUCACUAACGCUUUUUCUUGACUUGGAUCUUUGCCUCGGAGGAUCUUUGCCUCUGCUUUUGGGGAGGAUUUAAGCUAAGGCAGAGAAGUCUGGAGGGCUUAUCUUUGGCAGGAAAAUGUAAA
ensembl:miRNA eca-mir-8956 eca-mir-8956